rnacentral:snRNA from 1 species
GUGCUCACUUCUCACUUCGGCAGCACAUACGCUAAAACUGGAACAAUUCAGAGAAGAUUAGCGUGGCCCCUUCAAGGAUGACACGCAAAUUUGUGAAGCGUUCCAUAUUUAA